CAUGAAAAUAAUCCACUUCUGGACGUGUGGUCCUUCGGCCUCCCAAGAGGGCUGGCGCCAGGGCUAAAGCAGGGGCCAAGAUAGCGGAUGGAGAACACACGGACCACCUAAGGACCUAUGUGCCAUCGCUGCCUUCCUGUUACCGCUGCUGGAGGCUUCCGGAUGGAUAACGCCAACCACUCCGCUUUCUCCCUCCCUCUGUCCCUAUCUCUCUGUUUCUCUCUCUCUUUCUUUCAUAAUCCUGGAAUUAAAGUGUGACUAUGUUAACCAGUCAGGUCAGUCAAAAAGAUUGCUACUGGUGACACUGAAAUCCGGUACUAUCCUGUGUCAGUAUUUGAGAUAUAUAUGGUUAAAUUCAAAAAGAUUUGUAAUAUUGAUAUUGCGCGUGACGUAAAUAUGUCCUUUGGAGUGGAACUUGAGGCAGAAGAUUUUUCUGACWMUGGRCAGGCGACAAAGAUUCUGURCAAACGYAAACGUCGGAAAAGCAUAACGGAGCCUUUACAUUUUAGCUCUGAAACUGAGCUCUWCAUAAGUACAGAGGGUGCAGAUCAGACAUUGAGUGUGAAAAACAACAUCAUAGACUCUUCUCAGCGUUCCAUCAUAUCAGAUUCUGAUAUUUUAGACAGACGCAAACGUAGGAAUAGCUUAGAUACUCCACCAGAUUUUGUAACAUGCACACUGGAACAUAUUCAGUAUGUAUACUUUGAAGCUUUAUGUUUUAUGUAUACUUUGAAGCUACAUAGUCACACUUUAAACCAGAUAUAUCUAAUAAAGCCUUCAUGACGCCUUCA